UACGGAGGAUGCAAGCGUUAUUCGGAUUCACUGGGCGUAAAGGGUGCGCAGGCGGUUGGGUGUGUCAGAUGUGAAAUCUACAGGCUCAACUUGUAGUCUGCAUGAGAAACUGCCGGGCUUGAGUAUGGGAGAGGUGAGUGGAAUUCCUGGUGUAGCGGUGAAAUGCGUAGAUAUCAGGAGGAACACCUGUGGCGAAAGCGGCUCACUGGACCAUAACUGACGCUGAUGCACGAAAGCUAGGGGAGCAAACAGG
rnacentral:rRNA from 1 species